GCUGGCGGCAGGCUUAACACAUGCAAGUCGAACGCGUGUAGCAAUACACGAGUGGCGCACGGGUGAGUAACGCGUGGAUAUCUGCCUUUUGGUUCGGAAUAACCCCGGGAAACUGGGGCUAAUACCGGAUGGUUCCUUCGGGAUAAAGAUUUAUCGCCAAAAGAUGAGUCCGCGUACGAUUAGCUAGUUGGUGAGGUAAUGGCUCACCAAGGCGACGAUCGUUAGCUGGUCUGAGAGGACGAUCAGCCACACUGGGACUGAGACACGGCCCAGACUCCUACGGGAGGCAGCAGUGGGGAAUAUUGGACAAUGGGGGCAACCCUGAUCCAGCCAUGCCGCGUGAGUGAUGAAGGCCUUCGGGUUGUAAAGCUCUUUUGGCGGGGACGAUGAUGACGGUACCCGCAGAAUAAGCCCCGGCUAACUUC
rnacentral:rRNA from 1 species